rnacentral:rRNA from 1 species
AUGGCUAUCUUCAAGAAGAAAGCAGGCUCCCUGUUUUUGGCAACUCUCAUGGUCAUGGCUACUCUUCUCUCCUCAUGCGACGCGAACAACGAGAUACAAACAGAUGCUCUCCCCCUACCUGCGAAGUGCUAUGAGUUGGACUUACCUAACUGCACGUUGGAAUCAUGCGAGAAAUUUUGCCAUGGAGGAAAGUGCACUUCCUACGAUGGCUGUUGCUGCCCCAUUGCCUAA